GGAAAUGUGCCUGAACUUAAAGGGUCACUAUGAUAAGGUGAACAUAGAGGUGUACCAACCCUCUCAUUUCCU
rnacentral:tRNA from 1 species